CUGCGGUGCAUUUCUUGCAGUCCUGAUGCAUGGAGAAAAGGCCUUCACAAGCCCCGUAGCGGUGACUUUGCAUGCGGAUGUCAUCCAUAUCAACUUUCGAUGCCAGUUUCUGCGCCUACCAUGGUGACCAUGGGUAACAGGGAAUCAGGGUUCCAUUCCAUACAGGGACCCUGAGAAACGGCUACCACAUGCAAGGAAGGCAGCAGGCGCGCAAAUGACUCACUCCCGAUGCGGGAAGGUACUGACAACAAAUAACAAUACAGGAUUCUUUAGAGGCCCUGUAAUUGUAAUGAGUCCACUUGAAAUCCUUUAACUCUGAUCAAUUGGAGGGAAGUCUGGUGCAGAGCCACUGACCCGUGCGUGCUGCAG